rnacentral:rRNA from 1 species
AUUGAACGCUGGCGGCAUGCCUUACACAUGCAAGUCGAACGGCAGCACGGGUGCUUGCACCUGGUGGCGAGUGGCGAACGGGUGAGUAAUACAUCGGAACGUACCUUAUCGUGGGGGAUAACGCAGCGAAAGUUGCGCUAAUACCGCAUACGCCCUGAGGGGGAAAGCGGGGGACCGUAAGGCCUCGCGCGAUUAGAGCGGCCGAUGUCUGAUUAGCUUGUUGGUGAGGUAAAAGCUCACCAAGGCGAUGAUCAGUAGCUGGCCUGAGAGGACGAUCAGCAACCCUGGGACUGAGACACGGCCCAGACUCCUACGGAAGGCAGCAGUGGGGAAUUUUGGACAAUGGGGGCCACCCUGAUCCAGAAAUGCCGCUUGAGUGAAGAAGGCCUUCCGGUUGUACAGCUCUUUUGUCAGGGAGGAAACAGCAGCUCUAACACAGUCUGCGAAUGACGGUACCUGAAGAAUAAGCACCGGCUAACUACGUGCCAGCCGCCGCUGUAA